rnacentral:rRNA from 1 species
UACGAAGGGGGCUAGCGUUGCUCGGAAUCACUGGGCGUAAAGGGUGCGUAGGCGGGUCUUUAAGUCAGGGGUGAAAUCCUGGAGCUCAACUCCAGAACUGCCUUUGAUACUGAAGAUCUUGAGUUCGGGAGAGGUGAGUGGAACUGCGAGUGUAGAGGUGAAAUUCGUAGAUAUCAAGUGGAACACCAGUGGCGAAGGCGAGUCUCUGGACAUUUCCUGACGCUGAGGCACGAAAGCCAGGGGAGCAAACGGG